rnacentral:rRNA from 1 species
UUGCACGCUGGCGGCAUGCUUUACACAUGCAAGUCGCACGGUAACAGGCCGCAAGGUGCUGACGAGUGGCGAGCGGGUGAGUAAUGCAUCGGAACGUGCCCAGUCGUGGGGGAUAACUACUCGAAAGAGUAGCUAAUACCGCAUACGAUCUAUGGAUGAAAGCGGGGGACCGUAAGGCCUCGCGCGAUUGGAGCGGCCGAUGUCAGAUUAGGUAGUUGGUGGGGUAAAGGCUCACCAAGCCAACGAUCUGUAGCUGGUCUGAGAGGACGACCAGCCACACUGGGACUGAGACACGGCCCAGACUCCUACGGGAGGCAGCAGUGGGGAAUUUUGGACAAUGGGCGCAAGCCUGAUCCAGCAAUGCCGCGUGCAGGAAGAAGGCCUUCGGGUUGUAAACUGCUUUUGUACGGAACGAAACGGCUCUGGUUAAUACCCGGGGCUAAUGACGGUACCGUAAGAAUAAGCACCGGCUAACUACGUG